rnacentral:rRNA from 1 species
UAUUGCACAAUGGGGGGAACCCUGAUGCAGCGACGCCGCGUGGGCGAUGGAGUACUUCGGUAUGUAAAGCCCUAUCAGCAGGGAAGAAAAUGACGGUACCUGACUAAGAAGCCCCGGCUAAAUACGUGCCAGCAGCCGCGGUAAUACGUAUGGGGCAAGCGUUAUCCGGAUUUACUGGGUGUAAAGGGAGCGUAGGCGGCCUGGCAAGCCUGAUGUGAAAUACCGGGGCCCAACCCCGGGGCUGCAUUGGAAACUGUUGAACUGGAGUACAGGAGAGGUAAGCGGAAUUCCUAGUGUAGCGGUGAAAUGCGUAGAUAUUAGGAGGAACACCAGUGGCGAAGGCGGCUUACUGGACUGUAACUGACGUUGAGGCUCGAAAGCGUGGGGAGCA